rnacentral:misc_RNA from 1 species
CACAAAAAGAAAUAUAUUCUUUUUAUAAAUAGAGCAAUAAACAAGAAGUUAAAUAAAUUAAAUAUUCUCAUUAUUAUGCUCAGCUUGAACUGCGAUCACAUACAAACCCACCUGCCAAACAAGAAAACUGCUUAUUCCUCCCAAUAGAAAAGAACAUUUGCAAGGGAAAGGAGCAGUGCUCAAAUGGUAGAAAGCUGCCUUAACUCUCCCUACAAGAUUCACAUUAACCAGCUUCUCAUCAUGUUCAAAUGAAUAAAAUCAACUUCAAUCAUAUACCUAUGCACACUACUGCAGACCAUUAUCAUUGAUGCCAACCAUGACUGACUUCAGUGAAUCAUUCAUCUUCGUCGCUAAGUAAUGCAAAUGAAAAAGGAUAGAAUCUAUAGCCAUCUCCCUCGUAGAACUUGUUUUGGAAUUCCACCCAAUGAAGUCGCAAAGCAUGCAGGAAAGCACUGAGAGUUUCCAUCACCAGUAGCACACCAAUAGUUGCAAAAAUAAAGAUGA